UACGAAGGGGGCUAGCGUUGCUCGGAAUUACUGGGCGUAAAGCGCACGUAGGCGGCUUUCUAAGUCGGGGGUGAAAUCCUGGAGCUCAACUCCAGAACUGCCUUCGAUACUGGAGAGCUUGAGACCGGAAGAGGUAAGUGGAACUGCGAGUGUAGAGGUGAAAUUCGUAGAUAUUCGCAAGAACACCAGUGGCGAAGGCGGCUUACUGGUCCGGUUCUGACGCUGAGGCGCGAAGGCGUGGGGAGCGAACGGG
rnacentral:rRNA from 1 species